rnacentral:rRNA from 1 species
GAUGAACGCUGGCGGCGUGCCUAAUACAUGCAAGUCGAGCGAACAGACGAGGAGCUUGCUCCUCUGACGUUAGCGGCGGACGGGUGAGUAACACGUGGAUAACCUACCUAUAAGACUGGGAUAACUUCGGGAAACCGGAGCUAAUACCGGAUAAUAUAUUGAACCGCAUGGUUCAAUAGUGAAAGACGGUUUUGCUGUCACUAUUAGCUGAUUCCGCGCCGCAUUAGCUAGUUGGUAAGGUAACGGCUUACCAAGGCAACGAUGCGUAGCCGACCUGAGAGGGUGAUCGGCCACACUGGAACUGAGACACGGUCCAGACUCCUACGGGAGGCAGCAGUAGGGAAUCUUCCGCAAUGGGCGAAAGCCUGACGGAGCAACGCCGCGUGAGUGAUGAAGGUCUUCGGAUCGUAAAACUCUGUUAUUAGGGAAGAACAAAUGUGUAAGUAACUAUGCACGUCUUGACGGUACCUAAUCAGAAAGCCACGGCUAACUACGUG